AACGAACGCUGGCGGCAUGCCUAACACAUGCAAGUCGAACGAAGUCUUCGGACUUAGUGGCGCACGGGUGCGUAACGCGUGGGAAUCUGCCCUUGGGUGCGGAAUAACUUCUCGAAAGGGAUGCUAAUACCGCAUAAUGUCGUAAGACCAAAGAUUUAUCGCCCAAGGAUGAGCCCGCGUAAGAUUAGCUAGUUGGUGGGGUAAAAGCCUACCAAGGCGACGAUCUUUAGCUGGUCUGAGAGGAUGAUCAGCCACACUGGGACUGAGACACGGCCCAGACUCCUACGGGAGGCAGCAGUGGGGAAUAUUGGACAAUGGGCGAAAGCCUGAUCCAGCAAUGCCGCGUGAGUGAUGAAGGCCCUAGGGUUGUAAAGCU
rnacentral:rRNA from 1 species